GGGCGGUUAGCUCAGUGGAAGAGCACUUUCUUGACGUGAAAGGGGUCAUAGGUUCAAAUCCUAUACCGCCCA
rnacentral:tRNA from 1 species